rnacentral:piRNA from 1 species
UGCUACAACAAGGCAGUGGGUGAAGGUGUU